UUCCCAUGUUCAAAGAUCAAGUUUAUGCUUGCUUCUUUCAAAUGCCUUCUGCUUUGAGGAUUCAGUAUGAUAAUCUUAACUGUCAGAUCUAUAACACUUUGUAAUUACCAAAUUUGGGAAUUAUCGUCGCUGUAUUUGAUUUCUUAUUGUUCCUGACAAAGUAUGUGUCUGGACAAAUGAGUUCGUUGUGCAUAGUAAUUCUAGGAUUAAGAAGGAGUAUGAGUAUGCAGGAGUAGGCACAAUGGAGAAUGAUAAAGUAUUACACAAUUUAGAUGAGGGCCUCAUGUUUAUGUGUCUUCUUUUUAUGUACACUGAUAUAUUCUUCAAUAUCACUAUUCCUUCAGGACUAAAAGUUUUGAGAUCCUUGGACCGGCAACUUGGUCGGAUAUGGAAGUACACAGACAUGUAUUUUAAGUUCAUCUUCGCACAACGAAGGCCCUGGGGCACGUUUUCAUGCUUCAUGCUGAUUGCUUUCCAAAUGAUUGAGCCAUCUCGGGUCGGAGUAGAGUGACGAACCAUUUUUGGCCGCAUGCAGUGCGCCAUUAAGCUGCUUUACCACAGCUCUGAACUCACAGGAGUCGUAUAAAUUGCUGCCACCUCCAUUCCGGGGGAUUGACCUCCAGAAUGGUGAAAGAGCCUGGCCGAGAUGGCAUGCGAGGGCCCUGAGCUCAUGCCUGUCAUAGAGUAAGCUACUGUUUCGAUCUCGGAUGCCUGGUGAUUCGAGGGGGAGGAAGGUGGCAGGUGUUAUUGGAGGUUGUUUGACCUCCCCUGGGGAUGGUGACUCUUUUGAACUGGAAGGUGGCUGUUCCAUUGGGAGGGAGGAUGAAAAAUCUUGUUGUUUCUUCUGUGAUCAUUAAGCCUUGUUUGGGUGGGGGAAGGUCUUUUAGAGAUGAUGAUUCUGAGGAGGGAACAUAGGAUUCCACGUCAUUACAUUACGAUAUAUUCCAAGACAAAAGAAAACAAAGUUAUAGAUUGGAAUGACGAGCUCAAUGAUGAAAUGCGUGUAAAACUAUUGGUUUGUGAGAAAUGAGUAGGUAAUUUUUUAAGUUUAACGG